rnacentral:rRNA from 1 species
UACGUAGGGGGCAAGCGUUGUCCGGAAUCAUUGGGCGUAAAGGGUGCGUAGGCGGCGCGGUAAGUCGGGUGUGAAAUCUCGGAGCUUAACUCCGAAACUGCAUUCGAUACUGCCGUGCUUGAGGACUGGAGAGGAGACUGGAAUUUACGGUGUAGCGGUGAAAUGCGCAGAUAUCAGGAGGAACACCGGUGGCGAAGGCGGGUCUCUGGGCAACAACUGACGCUGAGGAGCGAAAGCGUGGGGAGCGAACAGG